rnacentral:rRNA from 1 species
AACGAACGCUGGCGGCAGGCUUAACGCAUGCAAGUCGAGCGCCCCGCAAGGGGAGCGGCAGACGGGUGAGUAACGCGUGGGAAUCUACCCAUCUCUACGGAAUAACGCAUGGAAAUGUGUGCUAAUAGCGUAUACGUCCUUCGGGAGAAAGAUUUAUCGGAGAUGGAUGUGCCCGCGUUGGAUUAGCUAGUUGGUGGGGUAAAGGCCUACCAAGGCGACGAUCCAUAGCUGGUCUGAGAGGAUGAUCAGCCACACGGGGACAGAGACACGGCCCAGACUCCUACGGGAGGCGGCAGGGGGGAAUAUUUGACAAUGGGCGCAAGCCUGCUCCAGUCAGGCCGCGUGAGUGAUGAACGCCCUAGGGUUGUAAAGCUCUUUCACCGGUGAAGAUAAUGACGGUAACCGGAGAAGAAGCCCCGGCUAGCUUCGUGCCAGCCGCCGCCGUAAUAC